rnacentral:rRNA from 1 species
CCCUUAGAUGUUCUGGGCCGCACGCGCGCUACACUGAUUCAUGCAACAAGUUUUGUCCUUGGCUGAUAGGCCUGGGUAAUCUUUGAACGUGAAUCGUGAUGGGGAUAGGUGAUUGCAAUUAUUCAUCUUCAACGAGGAAUUCCUAGUAAACGCAAGUCAUCAGCUUGCAUUGAUUACGUCCCUGCCCUUUGUACACACCGCCCGUCGCACCUACCGAUUGAAUGGUCCGGUGAAAUCUCGGGACGGCGGCUUGGUCGCUUGCGUCCGACUGCUGAAACUUGAUUAAACCAUAUCAUUUAGAGGAAGGUGAAGUCGUAACA